AUGCACGCUGGCGGCGUGCCUAAUCCAUGCAAGUCGAGCGAUCAGACGAGGAGCUUGCUCCUCUGACGUUAGCGGCGGACGGGUGAGUAACACGUGGAUAACCUACCUAUAAGACUGGGAUAACUUCGGGAAACCGGAGCUAAUACCGGAUAAUAUAUUGAACCGCAUGGUUCAAUAGUGAAAGACGGUUUUGCUGUCACUUAUAGAUGGAUCCGCGCCGCAUUAGCUAGUUGGUAAGGUAACGGCUUACCAAGGCAACGAUGCGUAGCCGACCUGAGAGGGUGAUCGGCCACACUGGAACUGAGACACGGUCCAGACUCCUACGGGAGGCAGCAGUAGGGAAUCUUCCGCAAUGGGCGAAAGCCUGACGGAGCAACGCCGCGUGAGUGAUGAAGGUCUUCGGAUCGUAAAACUCUGUUAUUAGGGAAGAACAAAUGUGUAAGUAACUAUGCACGUCUUGACGGUACCUAAUCAGAAAGCCACGGCUAACUACGUG
rnacentral:rRNA from 1 species